rnacentral:lncRNA from 1 species
UUUGUUAUGACCUUUGAAUCGUUCCUUGGAACGAGAGUUCAAGUCUAAACACGAUCUCAAUGUGGGACUAGUACUAAGCCAUUUUUAAAAAUUGCAAUUUAUGCUACCCAAAAGAGUAAAUGAAACAGCAGGCCUUAUACCAUUAAGCUAAAACAUGAUUUAGAUUAGUGAGCUGGAAUGGGAGAUAAAGAGGACAUGUUGAAAAUCUUACAGAUAUUGUAUAUCCCUCCUAAAGACAGCAGCAUGGUGUGGAGAGGAGGGAAUCAAAGGGCAGAAAACACCAUUUCCCUUUCAGCUGCCCUGGAGAGGACUGAGGAUGAGGAGCAGUGUGUCUGUGUAACACCACUUCCUCCUUCCCAGUAGAGGAGCCUUCAGAGACAGGAGUGUGAAACACCUUUGGAGAUUAUUGAAGCAGAAAUAAACCAGCAUGCAGGUUUUAUAAUGUGCAGUAAGGAGGUGUCUUCCAGUUUCUGAGUAACUGACAGGGCUGCACUGGGGAAAUGUCACUUAAGUAUUAAUUAAACAUGAGAAUAUUAUCGUAAUUUUGGUAGCAAAUUGGCAUGUCCCAAAUACCAGCUUAACCAUAAAAUGUCAGGAUUCCCUUCCCUUGUUCAUGUUUGGCUUUCUACUGAGUAUAGGAAACCAUCUCUUUUGAAGGCAGUAAGGUCCUGUGGAGGGGUUGCAGUGCAGAACAGGCUGUGGGGACUUGUGGUAGAGGCCCAGGUAGGAAGAGGAGCUCUGAAUUUGUUCUGUGCCCUGCAACACACUGCAUAGGAGCCUGGCAGCAUUGUGAAACAAGGCAGAAUUGUCAGCUUAGCAGCAAACUGGCUCCAAGCAUGGCCACAAGCUGCAGCAGCCCUGCAGAGCAGCAGGAGGGCAUGGGAUGCAGGGCAGCCCUGGCUCCAAGCUCAGGCAGCUUGUGUGGAUUUGCUUUGGAGAGCCAAGUUCAAUUAUCAGUGCAGAGAUGCAAUCCUCAGCAAAACCCCUGCCAGACCUCUCAGCAUGGAGCUUUAGGCUCGCUUGGAGCACAGACUUGCACAGAAGGGCAUUUUGGCUGCAGUUCCUGCAAAUUAAUUGCAGGGUUAGAGAAUGAGCUUCAGUCUCCACAUUUCAUAACCAUGACAUCCAAUCCAUCUCAGUAAAACAGAAGGAUGGCCCUCUAUUUCUAGGUGCUCUUUUGUCUGUAAUCCCAAGGGGAAACUUUUCUUUAGUUUUAACAGACCUUGUCACUGCUCGAAUCAAUUUAUUAAUUUUACCUCAUUAUUUUCUGUCAUUCCAAGUCCAGUGUCUUCAGAUAUUUCCUCAUUUUCUUCUGAAGGUUCCUGCUAGGCUUAUUUUGUCUCUUGGCAUUUUGAGAAGAAAAAUGUAAUAGUCAUGCUGACUGAAUGUCAACUAAUGCUGUGAUUAAAAAGUAGCUUACAACAGAACUCUUCUUUGAUGGACUGUUUUUUACUUCACAUUUGCUAAGCUGGAAAGGUGAGUCUAAAAGUAGAAGGAAUUGGGGGGAAUCUUUAGCUAAAAUCAAGAAUUAAAUGAGUUAAUUCAAGUUAAUUUCUUAACUCCAGCCACCUUGUGACUUCCUAGUGAAAACCUUUAUCCAGACUAUUCCAGCAAAGUUAGCAGUGCAUCCUAGAACAGCACAGAAUAGUUUGAGACAUGCAGGUUUUGUGUAUUUCACAAGUGAAUGUAUAAUGACUUGAAAAGUCUAAUUAACAGGGGUAAUCCAUUAGGUUUAAAAUUCAUCUGGACAUGAGCAGCCUGGUCCAGUAUCAAAGGUGGCCCUGCUUUGAAUGGAGGGGGAUUUAGCAAGAAAACUGCCUGCAAUCCCCUUACAACCUAAAUUGUUCUCUGAUUCAACCAGGAACCUAGAAAGGUCCCUUCAUCUUAAAGGACUUAAGAUUGCUUGCCUUUUUUAGGCUUUUAGUUCAGGAUUGGGAGACAGUGCCUAACAGGGGCCUACAAUGUAGAUGUGUGAGCAAAAAUGUUGAGCUGCACAGAUUCUUUUGCUGAUGACAAAAGUUUGGUAUUGCAGAGCCAGCUUUGCAGUACCCUCCCACCCUCUGGGAGCCCACAAUGAGAGCAAAGCAAAAACAAGCUAUUGUAUCUGCAGAUAAAGUAUUUGAGUACUGUACUGCACUUCUCCCAUUAACUCUAUAAGCAAAACUGCCUGGAAACAACAAGCAAUUGCACUUACUACCUGCUCCUCCCACCUCUCUUCAUGUGCAUCAUUCAGCAUUUUAAAAAAGCUACCCUUUCCCAUAACUCCCCUUUGUAAUCAAGGUAAUGCAAAGUAAAUACUUACAUUUAUGUAAUAGAAUGGCUUGGCCUGCCUGUAAAUGAGAGCAUAUAAAUCCCCUCUUAGGAAUGGAUGUAAAAAUUGGAACAGCAGCUUUAUCCAUAAUUCAUUAAAAAACCCACAACAGAAAUACAAAGAAAAAAUUGCAGAACUGAAAAAAAAAAUAAAAAUUCAUUAACUUUUAAGGAGACUAGUGCC